rnacentral:rRNA from 1 species
GCUGAGCACUCCUACGGGAGGCAGGCAGUGGGGAAUAUUGCACAAUGGGCGCAAGCCUGAUGCAGCCAUGCCGCGUGUAUGAAGUAAGGCCUUCGGGUUGUAAAGUACUUUCAGCAGUGAGGAAGGUGGGUAUGUUAAUAGCAUAUUCAUUUGACGUUAGCUGCAGAAGAAGCACCGGCUAACUCCGUGCCAGCAGCCGCGGUAAUACGGAGGGUGCGAGCGUUAAUCGGAAUUACUGGGCGUAAAGCGCAUGCAGGUGGUUUGUUAAGUCAGAUGUGAAAGCCCGGGGCUCAACCUCGGAAUUGCAUUUGAAACUGGCAAACUAGAGUACUGUAGAGGGGGUAGAAUUUCAGGUGUAGCGGUGAAAAUGCGUAGAGAUCUGAAGGAAUACCGGUGGCGAAGGCGGCCCCCUGGACAGAUACUGACACUCAGAUGCGAAAGCGUGGGGAGCAAACAGGAUUAGAUACCCUGGUAG